ACUGCUAAUACCGCAUAAUGUCUACGGACCAAAGGGGGCUUCGGCUCUCGCCUUGAGAGAGGCCCAAGUGAGAUUAGCUAGUUGGUGGGGUAAAGGCCUACCAAGGCAACGAUCUCUAGCUGUUCUGAGAGGAAGAUCAGCCACACUGGGACUGAGACACGGCCCAGACUCCUACGGGAGGCAGCAGUGGGGAAUAUUGCACAAUGGGGGAAACCCUGAUGCAGCCAUGCCGCGUGUGUGAAGAAGGCCUUCGGGUUGUAAAGCACUUUCAGUUGUGAGGAAAGGUUGGUAGUUAAUACCUGCCAGCUGUGACGUUAACAACAGAAGAAGCACCGGCUAACUCCGUGCCAGCAGCCGCGGUAAUACGGAGGGUGCGAGCGUUAAUCGGAAUUACUGGGCGUAAAGCGCACGCAGGCGGCUUGUUAAGCUAGAGGUGAAAGCCCCGCGCUCAACGUGGGAACUGCCUUUAGAACUGGCAGGCUAGAGUCUUGGAGAGGGGAGUGGAAUUCCAGGUGUAGCGGUGAAAUGCGUAGAUAUCUGGAGGAACAUCAGUGGCGAAGGCGGCUCCCUGGCCAAAGACUGACGCUCAUGUGCGAAAGUGUGGGUAGCGAACAGGAUUAGAUACCCUGGUAGUCCACACCGUAAACGCUGUCUACUAGCUGUUUGUGUAUUUAAUACGUGAGUAGCGAAGCUAACGCGC
rnacentral:rRNA from 1 species